rnacentral:rRNA from 1 species
UACGUAGGGCGCAAGCGUUAUCCGGAAUUAUUGGGCGUAAAGAGCUCGUAGGCGGUUUGUCGCGUCUGCCGUGAAAGUCCGGGGCUCAACUCCGGAUCUGCGGUGGGUACGGGCAGACUAGAGUGAUGUAGGGGAGACUGGAAUUCCUGGUGUAGCGGUGAAAUGCGUAGAUAUCAAGUGGAACACCAGUGGCGAAGGCGAGUCUCUGGACAUUUCCUGACGCUGAGGCACGAAAGCCAGGGGAGCAAACGGG